rnacentral:snRNA from 1 species
AUACUUACCGAUAUUGUUCUUGGGCACGCUGUAUCCUGUCGCGCGCUGAUAUGGGGUAUAAUAUUUCUCCCCAGCCGGCGCCCCAAGUGGAGGCCGGCCAUUGCACUGCGGUCGGCUGAAGCUUGCCACUUCCCCAAACUGGGGCAGAUGGGGCAAGCAAUUUUCGGUAGUGGGGUCAGGCGUGCGCGCCGGCCCCUC